CUUCUAAGUGAUUCCUGCUCUGUGUGAUUUUGACACAGAUAAUAUUUAUUAUUAGAUGGCAAUCAAUUAACUGAUUUGUAAAGGUUCUGUUUGUGAACGAAAUUACAAGGGAGUAACAUAUCCUGGAAUAAAAGCAAGUGAAAAUAGUAAUUCUUGUAUGCAGAAGCAUUUCUGUGUUCCUCUAUUUUUCCAUCUCUUUCUCUGAUAUUCGACUAUUAAUCCUUACAGGUCCAGGUGCUGUAUAUAGCCAAUACUAGGACCCGCCGGAAGUGGAAGGCCCGCCAUUUCUCGGGAGAUGCAUAUUCAUUAAAGCAUUUAUCUGAGAUGAGGACUAUACAAGUUGGUGAAAUAUUUGCAAGGUGAUGUGGGGGGACCUGACUGAAAUAGACCGGCGCUAAUCAUGUCGUCGAUGAGCCAAAAGCAUAUACAGGGUUGGGUGGGUUGCUUGAAUGGAGUUGGUUGUCAAUCCUAUUAAUUAAUACAUGGUUGGGAUUUUUCCUGUCUUAGUUUAUAUUUUGCCUAGACCAUUACUGAUUCGUUGAAAGUUGAUUGACUUUGGUUU